UUACUUUAAAAAGUUACUUGGGGUUGGGUGUGAUCCCUCGCGCACGAGGCUGGCGCAGAAGGAUGACGUAUUUGAUCAUGUGACCAGCCAAGACAACUAACCAUCUGGAAAUGUGAAUCUCGACAAACAUCACAGGACUGAGGCCCUAACACACGGGGAUACGUUUGAUGUACAUUCAUGCUCAGUACUGUCGCUGGCCCUGGAGCAGCCUUUAAUCACACACACAUGAAGCUGGUGAAGACGGACAGUUGUUGGACUUGGCUCUGUUCCAUCCAUUCCCAGGAAGGAGAAGGGAGCUCUCUCCAGGAAGUACAGGAUCUGCAGGAAGAAGAGGUGCCCACCAGGAAGAACGAGAUAGGUCUCCCACACUCCAUGCUGGCCUGGCACCUUGGGCAUCUCACUGGACCCUUCUGAGUGUCAAGUGUCCUCCUUUUUGUAAGGCUUCAAUGUAUGUGGGAGGAUGAGGUGAUUUCCUACUAAGCUACUGCAAGACUUCAGAGUACUACGUUCAAGUUCCAGGAGGCAGUGUUCCGGGCUAAGCUCCUGUGCUAGCUGUGCUAGGCCCCAAAGACCAGGGUAACGCAUCAGAACUGUCAUGCUGAAGCCCUGUGCCACCAGGAUGAAACUGAGCCACUUAUUUCUCCUUUGAGAAAUCAGGAUUAGGAGAUAACAGCUGGAUUUCCUAAGUGGGACCAGUUUCAACUGGCACAAUAGUCAGAUUCCCUCUGCCUUAAUCCUACAGCUAACCUCAGGUAACCUGCUUGAUGAGCAGUUUCCUAUUGUUCUAACUCCCUGCCCUGCCUUACAAGGCAAGGAACUUUGAAAUGACCAAUCUGUUCCUCGU